GUGCCAGCAGCCGCGGUAAUACGGAGGGUGCAAGCGUUAUCCGGAUUUAUUGGGUUUAAAGGGUCCGUAGGCGGAUGCGUAAGUCAGUGGUGAAAUCUCACAGCUCAACUGUGAAACUGCCAUUGAUACUGCGUGUCUUGAGUGAGGUUGAAGUAGCUGGAAUAAGUAGUGUAGCGGUGAAAUGCAUAGAUAUUACUUAGAACACCAAUUGCGAAGGCAGGUUACUAAGUCUCAACUGACGCUGAUGGACGAAAGCGUGGGGAGCGAGCAGGAUUAGAUACCCUGGUAGUCCACGCUGUAAACGAUGCUAACUCGUUUUUGGGGAUUUAUCUUCAGAGACUAAGCGAAAGUGAUAAGUUAGCCACCUGGGGAGUACGAACGCAAGUUUGAAACUCAAAGGAAUUGACGGGGGCCCGCACAAGCGGUGGAUUAUGUGGUUUAAUUCGAUGAUACGCGAGGAACCUUACCAAGGCUUAAAUGGGAAUUGAUCGGUUUAGAGAUAGACCUUCCUUCGGGCAAUUUUCAAGGUGCUGCAUGGUUGUCGUCAGCUCGUGCCGUGAGGUGUUAGGGUUAAGUCCUGCA
rnacentral:rRNA from 1 species